AAGUCGUAACAAGGUUUCCGUAGGUGAACCUGCGGAAGGAUCAUUACGAACAGCGCCGGCUCUCUGGGCCGGCGCCCCAACACGCUCGGGACACCCUGUUUGUGAGUACCAACCGUUUCCUCGGCGGGCCCGCCCGCCAGUGAGGACCCCAUCGAAACCCUUGCAAUGAGCAGUCAGUCAGUGUUAUAAUAAUUUGUCACAACUUUCAACAAUGGAUCUCUUGGCUCUA
rnacentral:misc_RNA from 1 species